AAGAAUAGCUGAGCCAGAGCGAACGUGAGUGUGAAACCUCUUUAAGACACCGUUGGGCUGCUUGGUUCUGACAUUCUGGACUGCAAAACAGUUCUACUAGGAUCCUGGGGAUACAUGAAGCUUCUGUGAACCAACUUUUCAAGAAAAAGCAAUGGAGAUUGGAUGGAUGCACAAUCGGAGACAAAGCAAUGAAGAAUUUUUAAAUAAACACAAAAAUUGGGCACAGCCAUUUGACUGUGUUGGAAGCCACAAGGUGGCGCUGCAGACUGAAGAGACGGAGGAACAAAAUUGACCAGAAUGCUACGGAAGUCCUUGACAAAAAGGAAACACUGAGACAGAUGGGCUGAGAAGAAGAGCUGUCGAGUCCCUGAUUGGGAAAGGAAAAAUUAAAAACCCUAGAUCUCUGGUACACAUAAGUCUGGGUUUGCGAUUGCUAUUUGUGCUGGGGCAGUGUGAUUGAGACUGACAUUGAGGAAAGAAGCAGCUAUGAAGACCAGGGGGUUCAGCUUUCCAAGACAAAGGUGCACUGGACAGAGAGAGCAAAGCUGAGUACAACAUCACCAUCA
ensembl:lncRNA novel transcript